rnacentral:rRNA from 1 species
AGAGUUUGAUCAUGGCUCAGAAUCAACGCUGGCGGCGCGCUUAACACAUGCAAGUCGAACGAGAAAGUGGAGCAAUCCAUGAGUAAAGUGGCGUACGGGUGAGUAACACGUGGGUAAUCUACCUUUUAGUGGGGAAUAACGAUGGGAAACCGUCGCUAAUACCGCAUAAUCCCGAGAGGGGAAAGCAGCAAUGCGCUGAAAGAGGAGCCCGCGGCCGAUUAGCUAGUUGGUGAGGUAACGGCUCACCAAGGCAAAGAUCGGUAGCCGGCCUGAGAGGGCACACGGCCACACUGGCACUGAAACACGGGCCAGACUCCUACGGGAGGCAGCAGUGGGGAAUCUUGCACAAUGGGGGCAACCCUGAUGCAGCGACGCCGCGUGAGCGAUGAAGCCCUUCGGGGUGUAAAGCUCUUUCGGCAGGGAAGAUUAUGACGGUACCUGCAGAAGCAGCUGCGGCUAACUACGUGCCAGCAGCCGCGGUAAUACGUAGGCAGCGAGCGUUGUUCGGAGUUACUGGGCGUAAAGGGUGUGUAGGCGGUUCUUUAAGUUUGGUGUGAAAUCUCCCGGCUCAACCGGGAGGGUGCGCCGAAUACUGAGGGACUAGAGUGCGGGAGAGGAAAGUGGAAUUCCUGGUGUAGCGGUGAAAUGCGUAGAUAUCAGGAGGAACACCGGUGGUGUAGACGGCUUUCUGGACCGUAACUGACGCUGAGACACGAAAGCGUGGGUAGCAAACAGGAUUAGAUACCCUAGUAGUCC